UUCUCUACUGGGGGGGGGGUCCACGGUCUUCUCGUUGCUCCCUGUGUGUCAAGCUUUCCAGAGGCAGACCAGAGGCUGGGGGCCUGUUACUGUCAGGACGCGGAUGUUGGGGCGGUCUCCACUCAACUCUUCCGAGGUCUCUCUUACCCCAACCCUGAAGAGCCCUUGAAAACGUCUCCUUCCCCAGAGAGGAAACCCAGUCAAUCGGUAGCUUCCUCUCCCUUGCGGUUUGGCCUUCAGCUGGGUCAGCCGGGGAAAUCUCGGUGAGGUCACCCAGUCGCCUCCGUAGAACUUCACACAGUGACUUCAACUUCGGACCAGGAGAGGAAGCCAUAGAUGAGGUCACCGAGGCACCGAGAAGUGAAGGGACU